CAGAAAAAAAACUGCACUUGACCAGUCAAACAGCUUUACACAUGAGGAGACCAAAAGCCUGAAUAACAAUUCCUUGGUGUUUGAAGUGGGAUACAAACAUCUGGUGACUGACUGGUGAGGACCAUGGAUCACUUCCUCUUGAACCCCAGCACCACAUUUAAGGUGCUUCAGAUGGAGAGCUCCAUGACUGCUACUGCCCAGGUCUCCAUACCUCGCAUAGACCUCAAGGACAUGUCCCUACAGAAUCCAGACCUUGUGCUGUAUAUCAAUGGUUCCUGUCUCUGAGACCAGCAAGGGACUCUAGUAGCCAGAUAUGCAGUCUGCAGUCAUCACAAUGUUCUCAAAGCCCACUCUUCACCCUCUGUACACUCUGCUCAAGUCGCUGAAUUAGUAGCCCUCACACGUGCAUGCACCUUAGCUAAGGAUCAGUCUGCUACAAUACACACUGACUCUCAUUAUGCUUUUGGCAUUGACCGUGACUAUGGGCAACUCUGGAAACAACAUGGCUUCCUCACCUCAGGG